UUCCUGUCCAACGUUAAUCGGGGCAGGGUGAGUCGACCCCUAAGGCGAGGCCGAAAGGCGUAGUCGAUGGGAAACGGGUUAAUAUUCCCGUACUUGGUGUUACUGCGAAGGGGGGACGGAGAAGGCUAUGUUGGCCGGGCGACGGUUGUCCCGGUUUAAGCGUGUAGGUGUGUGUUCCAGGUAAAUCCGGUUCACUUUAACACUGAGGCGUGAUGACGAGGCACUACGGUGCUGAAGCAACAAAUGCCCUGCUUCCAGGAAAAGCCUCUAAGCAUCAGGUAACAUCAAAUCGUACCCCAAACCGACACAGGUGGUCAGGUAGAGAAUACCAAGGCGCUUGAGAGAACUCGGGUGAAGGAACUAGGCAAAAUGGUGCCGUAACUUCGGGAGAAGGCACGCUGACACGUAGGUGAAGUGAUUUACUCAUGGAGCUGAAGUCAGUCGAAGAUACCAGCUGGCUGCAACUGUUUAUUAAAAACACAGCACUGUGCAAACACGAAAGUGGACGUAUACGGUGUGACGCCUGCCCGGUGCCGGAAGGUUAAUUGAUGGGGUCAGCGCAAGCGAAGCUCCUGAUCGAAGCCCCGGUAAACGGCGGCCGUAACUAUAACGGUCCUAAGGUAGCGAAAUUCCUUGUCGGGUAAGUUCCGACCUGCACGAAUGGCGUAAUGAUGGCCAGGCUGUCUCCACCCGAGACUCAGUGAAAUUGAACUCGCUGUGAAGAUGCAGUGUACCCGCGGCAAGACGGAAAGACCCCGUGAACCUUUACUAUAGCUUGACACUGAACAUUGAGCCUUGAUGUGUAGGAUAGGUGGGAGGCUUUGAAGUGUGGACGCCAGUCUGCAUGGAGCCGGCCUUGAAAUACCACCCUUUAAUGUUUGAUGUUCUAACGUGGACCCGUGAUCCGGGUUGCGGACAGUGUCUGGUGGGUAGUUUGACUGGGGCGGUCUCCUCCUAAAGAGUAACGGAGGAGCACGAAGGUUGGCUAAUCCUGGUCGGACAUCAGGAGGUUAGUGCAAUGGCAUAAGCCAGCUUGACUGCGAGCGUGACGGCGCGAGCAGGUGCGAAAGCAGGUCAUAGUGAUCCGGUGGUUCUGAAUGGAAGGGCCAUCGCUCAACGGAUAAAAGGUACUCCGGGGAUAACAGGCUGAUACCGCCCAAGAGUUCAUAUCGACGGCGGUGUUUGGCACCUCGAUGUCGGCUCAUCACAUCCUGGGGCUGAAGUAGGUCCCAAGGGUAUGGCUGUUCGCCAUUUAAAGUGGUACGCGAGCUGGGUUUAGAACGUCGUGAGACAGUUCGGUCCCUAUCUGCCGUGGGCGCUGGAGAACUGAGGGGGGCUGCUCCUAGUACGAGAGGACCGGAGUGGACGCAUCACUGGUGUUCGGGUUGUCAUGCCAAUGGCACUGCCCGGUAGCUAAAUGCGGAAGAGAUAAGUGCUGAAAGCAUCUAAGCACGAAACUUGCCCCGAGAUGAGUUCUCCCUGAGACUUUAGGUCUCCUGAAGGAACGUUGAAGACGACGACGUUGAUAGGCCGGGUGUGUAAGCGCAGCGAUGCGUUGAGCUAACCGGUACUAAUGAACCGUGAGGCUUAACCUU
rnacentral:rRNA from 1 species